UGACACAGGAGCCCAGGGAAGGCACAGCUGGGUUAUCAUCCCCUCUGUCCCCCUCUUUUGGGUUUGGGGAGAGGGCUGACACAGCUGGAGUGUGGCACAAGGGAAGGUGUAAGGAAAGGUGUAAGGUGUACCUGGGAUGUGGCACAAAGGAAAGGUGUAAGGAAAGGUGUAAGGUGUACCUGGGAUGUGGCACAAGGAAAGGUGUAAGGUGUACCUGGGAUGUGGCACAAGGAAAGGUGUAAGGAAGGGUGUAAGGUGUACCCUGAAUGUGGCACAAAGGAAAGGUGUAAGGUGUACCUGGGAUGUGGCACAAGGGAAGGUGUAAGGAAAGGUGUAAGGUGUACCUGGGAUGUGGCACAAGGAAAGGUGUAAGGGAAGGUGUAAGGAAAGGUGUAAGGUGUACCUGGAGUGUGGCACAAGGAAAGGUGUAAGGAAAGGUGUAAGGAAAGGUGUAAGGUGUACCUGGGAUGUGGCACAAGGAAAGGUGUAAGGUGUACCUGGGAUGUGGCACAAGGAAAGGUGUAAGGAAGGGUGUAAGGUGUACCCUGAAUGUGGCACAAAGGAAAGGUGUAAGGUGUACCUGGGAUGUGGCACAAGGGAAGGUGUAAGGAAAGGUGUAAGGUGUACCUGGGAUGUGGCACAAGGAAAGGUGUAAGGGAAGGUGUAAGGAAAGGUGUAAGGUGUACCUGGAGUGUGGCACAAGGAAAGGUGUAAGGUGUACCCUGAAUGUGGCACAAGGGAAAGGUGUAAGGUGUGUGUCCAUCUGCUCCAGGGGACACCCAACUGUCCCA